UGGGGAAUAUUGGACAAUGGGCGAAAGCCUGAUCCAGCCAUGCCGCGUGUGUGAAGAAGGUCUUCGGAUUGUAAAGCACUUUAAGUUGGGAGGAAGGGCAUUAACCUAAUACGUUAGUGUUUUGACGUUACCGACAGAAUAAGCACCGGCUAACUCUGUGCCAGCAGCCGCGGUAAUAAAGAGGGUGCAAGCGUUAAUCGGAAUUAGUGGGCGUAAAGCGCGCGUAGGUGGUUUGUUAAGUUGGAUGUGAAAUCCCCGGGCUCAACCUGGGAACUGCAUUCAAAACUGACUGACUAGAGUAUGGUAGAGGGUGGUGGAAUUUCCUGUGUAGCGGUGAAAUGCGUAGAUAUAGGAAGGAACACCAGUGGCGAAGGCGACCACCUGGACUAAUACUGACACUGAGGUGCGAAAGCGUGGGGAGCAAACA
rnacentral:rRNA from 1 species